UGCGAAGGAAAUAUUUCAAUAUUAAUAUAAAUGUAAGCUAAUAAUAAUUGUAUCCUUUCCACCCACCCCCCACCUCUCUCUCUCUCUCUAUUCCUCUAUUCCUAAUAUAACGUAUUUUAUUAAUGAAAGGUAAUUGCACUUUGUUAAUAUUAUUUUGUUAUUGUAGAUAUUGAAUAUUAAUAAUAAAUUUUUAUCAAUUUGAAGAAAAAGAAUGGAUUCAUAUUCUAGAACACUUGCAAUAAAACUUUAAUGAGAUUGUAAAUAAAUAAUAUUCUUAAAUGUGCAAUAUAUGAUAUAAUUCACGUUACAAAGUACGUUCGUAAAGCUAAUGAGAUUAAAUUAUGUUAUCAUUCUGUAUCAUUGACACUGAUUGUCAGCUUGCUCGUUCAUUGGACGAUGCUACACUCGUGUGGGAGUAUAUUUUUAGAAGAGAGAAUCAGUCGUAAAGACUUGCUUGAACGUUCAGUAUCAUUCAUUGUGUCUGAUCGUUCAGUAUAUCUUCCACAAAAAAAAGAAAUGGCUAUCGCGCUCGUAUCCUUGAUUCUCGUAGCAUUGGUGGCUCUCUAUUUUUACUUGACGAAGAAUUACGAUUAUUGGCAAAAGCGUAAUGUACCUUGCGCGGAUGGUGCUUUACCCGGAGUCGGCCACUUCUGGAACGUCAUCACCAUGAAGACCACCUUUUCUGAAUGCUGUCGCAAGAUCUACAAUAAUAAUCGGAAUCGCAGUAUGAUAGGAAUCUACAACUUCAGAUCACCAGCGUUGAUGGUCCUCGACCCGGAGCUAGUGAAGACGGUGAUGCAAACAAGUUUUUCUAACUUCCACGAGAACGGCUUCAAGAUCGAUCCUGAGUUGGAUCCUCUUGUGUCAAACAAUCCAUUCUUUUGUACUGGCGAGAAAUGGGCAACUGGCAGGAAACGUUUGACUUAUGCAUUUUCCAGCAUGCGACUAAAGAUUCUGCUCGAGAGCGUUAAAGAAGUAUGCCAGCAGUUCGAGAAUUACUUGGAUAAAAAAAUUAACAAAAUCGAAAAGAUCGAAUUGGAACUGAAGGAUUUGUUCGCCAGAUUCACCGCACAAGUUGUAACCGGUGCUGGCUUUGGCAUAGACGGAUUGAGCUUUAACGAGGAGAAAGAGAAAGAAUCAUUUUACGCAAUGGGCAAGUCUUUUCUCCAACCGACUGGUGUGAACAAUAUUAUCUUUACGUUAGUUUUUUUCUUGCCUUCGCUAUCUAAAAUUUUUAGGAUUCCUUUUUUACCAAAGAAAGCCGAUCGUUUCUUUAGAACGGUAAUCGCGGAUGUUAUGGAACAAAGAAGGACAGAGAGUAUACAUAGAAACGACUUUCUUCAAUUGAUGGCUGAACUGGAACGGGUGGAGGGUACUAAGAUUGACUUAGAUGUUCUUGCAUCUCACGCAGUUUCGUUUUUUCUAGACGGUUAUGAAACCUCUAGUAUAACUUUGAGCUUUGUUGGUUUUCAAUUAGCUAGUCAUCCAGAUGUGCAGGAAAAAUUACGCAAUGAAGUGAUAUCUGUGCUCGAGAAGUAUGAUGGCGUGAUUACUUAUGACGCUUUAAAAGAGAUGACGUACAUGGAUCAAGUCAUAAGCGAAUCACAGAGAUGCGUUCCUGUAUUGGGAUUUCUGACCAAGAUUUGUACAGAAGCGACCGAACUUAGAGGAUCUGAUGGACUCACCUGUCACGUUGAACGUGGAAUGGAAAUUCUGAUACCCGUUCUUAGUCUGCAGGAAGAUCCUCGGUAUUGGGAACGUCCUGAAGUAUUUAACCCUGAAAGAUUCGGCCCAGACAGGAAACACAGCAUCGAAAGAUUCGCUUUUCUUCCCUUCGGCGAAGGUCCGCGAAUCUGCGUAGGGAUGAGAAUGGCUCAGUUACAAAUGAAAGCGUGUUUGGCUACAUUCCUAAGGAAAUAUAGUCUUGAACUUUCUCCGAAAACUCGUACACCCUUGAAGAUGGUGGCUUCAUCCGUGUUGGCUGCAGCAGAAGGGACAAAAAUUAAUAACUUCAACUGACCAAAGUUUAUAACGCAAGAUGCAGAAUACAUUUCAACUUGUAUAUAUCUUUAACAACAAUUAUGGAGGUGAGAGAUGCCUCUGAUGAGAAUUUAAAUGGAUUUGGAAUUUCACAGAGCAAAUUAUCUACAUGAGUCAGAAGGUGGACGAAAACUAAUAACUUCAACUGACCAAAGUUUAUAACGCAAGAUGCAGAACAUAUUUCAACUUGUAUUCAAUUUUAACAACAAUUAUGGCAGUGAGAUGCGUGAUGAAGAUUUAAGUGGAUUUGAAAUUUUACAAAGCAAAUUAUCUAUAUGAGUCAGAAGGAUUUUCAUCUCUCUUCUUUGUUAUGGAUAAAAAAUAAAUCAAAACAAAAAAUAAGGAAAAAAAAAGAAAAUUAAAACUAAGAAGAUAGAUAUAGCAAAUCGGACGUGAAAUCAUCGAGUAUCGAAUAUUCAACAAAGGACACAUGUUAUAAAAAUAAAGUUCAUUGAGUGCAGGUAAAGUGCGAGGUGUGCUUAAGUAAAGUGUGCUUAAGUAAAUAUGUUCGCGUCAUCUUGGAUGCAAAUGUAUAUAAACGGAGGCUAAGAAGAAACGCCGUUUCGUCCUCUUUUUUUUGCCGUGGAAGUCGUCUUGAAAGUCUCUUGUCUGAAAGUUCAACGAGAGUUUCCUUGGAUGGAGAAUUUCAAGCAAUUUCAAGCAAUUUGUAUUCCUGGGAAAGGUGGCGAUGACGUUGUCGAUUGGAUAAUGUUUUUGGAUCAGCCUCCAUUGGUACCAAAGUUGAUUUUUGUUGUGUGGCCAAGUAGUUUUUGAUCAGAAGACGCUCAAUUUCAAUGACGCAAUUCUUACAAGAAGAAAGUAUUAUUCGAUCACAGAUACGUCGUGACACGCACUAUUGGUAGAGAGCAGCUGGUAGUAGCCUGCGUGAAAAAAAUCUCGAAUAAAACCGUGCAGUUUCACGUUUGAUCACGUCGACAAUAUGUCAAUUAUGCUCGCGGUUCGAAGGAAGGAGGGUGUACAGAGAGAAGAAUACAAGCAGCGCAGAAAGUGUGUAGCUGAACAGAGGAACAGAGCAAACAAACGGGGAAUCAAAGCAGUCGGUGGUUGCCUAUAUGUACAACCGGAACAACCGGCCCCGGAAAGACCGGAGAGCACAAAAAGAGGCCGAAGCGUGAAUUGUGGAGGUGAGGUUGCGUGGUCGCAAGAGAGAAGACAAAGAGGUCGUGCUGUUGUGCUGCUAGUGCGAGAUGCCGGACCGUGGGACUUACACGAAUAUAUUAUGCACGAGAUAAUGAUAAAUAACGAUGCGUGAAUAAUGAUAACGCAGCUACGAGAUAAGCAGAUUGAGAAGAGCGCCUACUUUUAGACGAGUACAAAAGAGAAUUUCGGAGGAACACUAUUGCACACAGAACAAUUUGAUGAAGUGAAAUGUUGAAGUAUAAAAGCAGUGCAAAAAUUUCCGGCUUCACGAGGCAGAACGUCGAAGAUCCGCGUGGGCCGAAUGUCUCUAGACGACUUUUAGCGUAGUCUAUCGAAGCACCAAGAUCACGUGCUAGCCAGGACAAAAAACCCGAAACUAUACUCACCAUCGUGAUAGUAGAUGUAGGCUCCGAUCGGAUCUGCGACAGAAAAACGAUGGCGAACGCCGAUUAGAUGUGCGGUCCACUUUCUCCUCUUCUGCUCGUCCUCCGCGAGAAUCUUCCUCGACCGUUUGACCUCGACGGCCGGUCGGUCGAAGAAGAAGCCGAUAGAGAGACUUCCUCUCCUUGCCGUCGAUGCUGAUGUUCUGUGAUCGUUGCAGACCGAGCGGGCCCUUAUAUACUAGGCCCUUCCUUCUUCUCGGCGUGCACGAGGGUUGACGAGGAGGGGAGCCCUGUCCUUCAGCAAGGCCCUGGGAAAACGAAUCGGCACAAUGUUCCUUUUCAACCGCGCUCCCUUCUUGCCGUCCCUUACUUUUUCUCUCCUCUUCCCUUCGACGAAGAGGAAGAGACAGCCUUGAUCCUCGAACGGGAUCCUCCGGUCCUUACCUGUUUCCACGUAACGUACGCGUCGGUUUCCUCCCUCAGGAUUUUUACCCCAACGCGAGGGAUGCUCUUCUAGUCACCCCUCAAAAGGGGGCGAAGGUGUCCAGGUGCCCGGCUUGGAAGAUAAGUCGGGCACUUUUGAAAAAUUCGUCGCCACACGGUAUAGAAUUUUUGCCGGAUGGUUUUUUGAGGUAGAAAAAGAGAUUCAAGAUGCGCGUGAAAAAUAAAUCUAUCUCAUCCAGAUGUCGGGUUAUUAUCUUAGUCUUGUUGGCUCGCAGAAUGAAGGUUCAUAGAUUUUUUUCGGUCGAAGGAUCUAAGAAUCUUUGCUUUGAUGUAUCGAAUCUAGAAGAAAGAAAGAAAAGGAAAUAAUAUUC